AACGAACGCUGGCGGCAUGCCUAACACAUGCAAGUCGAACGAGACCUUCGGGUCUAGUGGCGCACGGGUGCGUAACGCGUGGGAACCUGCCCUUAGGUUCGGAAUAACUCCCCGAAUGGGGUGCUAAUACCGGAUAAUGUCUUCGGACCAAAGAUUUAUCGCCUUUGGUUGGGCCCGCGUUGGAUUAGCUAGUUGGUAGGGUAAAAGGCUACCAAGGCGACGAUCCAUAGCUGGUCUGAGAGGAUGAUCAGCCACACUGGGACUGAGAAACGGCCCAGACUCCUACGGGAGGCAGCAGUGGGGAAUAUUGGACAAUGGGCGAAAGCCUGAUCCAGCAAGGCCGCGUGAGUGAUGAAGGCCUUAGGGUUGUAAAGCUCUUUUACCCGGGAUGAUAAUGACAGUACCGGGAGAAUAAGCUCCGGCUAACUCCGUG
rnacentral:rRNA from 1 species